rnacentral:rRNA from 1 species
CCUACGGGUGGCAGCAGUAGGGAAUCUUUCACAAUGGGCGAAAGCCUGAUGGAGCAACGCCGCGUGCAGGAUGAAGGCCUUCGGGUUGUAAACUGCUUUUAUAAGCGAGAAAUAUGAUGGUAACUUAUGAAUAAGGAUCGGCUAACUACGUGCCAGCAGCCGCGGUCAUACGUAGGAUCCGAGCAUUAUCCGGAGUGACUGGGUGUAAAGAGUUGCGUAGGUGGCAUAAUAAGUAGCUAGUGAAAUCUGGUGGCUCAACCAUUCAGACUAUUAGCUAAACUGUUAAGCUCGAGACCGUUAGAGGUAACUGGAAUUGGUGGUGUAGGAGUGAAAUGCGUAGAUAUUAGAAAGAACACCGAUAGCGUAGGCAGGUUACUGGGACGGUUCUGACACUAAGGCACGAAAGCGUAGGGAGCAAACGGGAUUAGAUACCCGUGUAGUC